CAGCGUCACGAGUGGCAAUCGCGUUUAUUGGGCCUAAAGCGUCCGUAGCCGGUUCAGCAAAUCUUUUGUGAAAUCGUCAGGCUUAACUUGACGGAUUGCAGAAGACACUACUGAACUCGGGACUGGGAGGAGUCAGAAGUAUUUUGGGGGGACCGGUAAAAUGGUAUAAUCCCCAGAGGACUACCGAUGGCGAAGGCAUCUGACUAGAACAGAUCCGACGGUGAGGGACGAAAGCCAGGGGAGCGAACCGGAUUAGAUACCCGUGUAGUC
rnacentral:rRNA from 1 species